GAACGAACGCUGGCGGCGCGUCUUAAGCAUGCAAGUCGAACGGCAAGAGGUAGCAAUACCUCCUAGAGUGGCGGACUGGUGAGUAACACGUGGGUGACAUACCCUUCAGAUGGGGAUAGCUAUUAGAAAUAGUAGAUAAUACCGAAUACGAGCACAGGGGUUAGAGAUCUGUGAGGAAAGGAGCUAAGGCUCCGCUGAAGGAAUGGCCUGCGGCCCAUUAGCUAGUUGGUGAGGUAAGAGCCCACCAAGGCGAUGAUGGGUAUCCGGCCUUAGAGGGUGAACGGACACAUUGGGACUGAGAUACGGCCCAGACUCCUACGGGAGGCAGCAGCUAAGAAUAUUCCGCAAUGGACGAAAGUCUGACGGAGCGACGCCGCGUGGAUGAAAAGAAGGCCGGAAGGUUGUAAAAUCCUUUUGAAACUGAAGAAUAAGCGUUGUAGGGAAUGACAGCGUGGUGACAGUAGGUUUUGAAUAAGCAACGGCUAAUUACGUGCCAGCAGCUGC
rnacentral:rRNA from 1 species